GCCUCUUGACAUUAUUACCAUACCAUGGAUAAAUUGUCAAGGUGAAUAAGGCAGGUCUAUUGAUGCAGUGAUGAUGCUUUCAUCCUUAGAACAAGCACACACUCAGUUUUCAGACUUGGUUUCUCAAAAAGAUUUACAUGAAAAAUUGUACUUGGUUUGAGAGAUGGAAUGCUAGAAGUAAAGGAAUGAUAAUUUUUAAUUAAUAAAAACCAAGCCACAUUUUCAGAAAGGUUUGCACAUACAAAGUUGUUUUAUCUUAUGGGAGACAUACCCUGAAGACUUUGCAUGCUUCACAACAUAUAUCAUUCCCCUUUAGCUGCCAUCUUGCAUCUCCGCAUGUGUGCGCCUAAUCUCAGCUGGUCCACCCGAGACCCUCUGAGCACCAACCCUAGUUCUCUGCAUGGCCCUUUAUCUGCUCUGAUAGGAUGAAAGAAACAAUCAUGAACCAGGAAAAACUUGCCAAACUGCAGGCACAAGUGCUCAUUGGUGGAAAAGGAACUACUCGUAGAAGGAAGAAGGUGGUUCAUAGAACAGCCACAGCAGAUGAUAAAAAACUUCAGUUCUCCUUAAAGAAGUUACGGGUAAACAAUAUCUUUGGUAUUGAAGAGGUGCAUAUGUUUACAAACCAAGGAACAGUGAUCCACUUUAACAACCCUAAAGUUCAGGCGUCUCUGGCAGCAAACACUUUCACCAUUACAGGCCAUGUCGAGACAAAGCAGCUGACAGAAAUGCUACCCGGCAUCUUAAACCAGCUUGGUGCAGACAGUCUGACUAGUUUAAGCAGACUGGCUCAAGCUUUGCCCAAACAAUCUGUGGAUGGAAAAGCACCACUUGCUACUGGGGAGGAUGAUGAUGAUGAAGUUCCUGAUCUUGUGGAGAAUUUUGAUGAGGCUUCCAAGAAUGAGGCAAACUGAAUUGAGUCAACUUCUGAAGAUAAAACUUGAAGUUACUGGGAGCUGCUAUUUUAUAUUAUGACUACUUUUAAAGAAAUUUUUGUUUAUGGAUCUGAUAAAAUCCAGAUCUCUAAUAUUUUUAAGCCCAAGCCCUUUGGACACUGCAGCUCUUUUCAGUUUUUGCUUAUACACAAUUCAUUCUUUGCAGCUAAUUAAGCCGAAGAAGCCUGAGAAUAAACUUUGAAACAAAGGUU